GUUUCCCCGAGUGAAGAGAGCCUGUUGUCACCUGUAGCUCGAUAGUCGGUAGUCGCCGACAGAUUGUUACACGGGCUAGUAUUGGCUACUUCCCAAGGCAUCGGAAAUCGGAAAGUUCCCCAUUGCUUCCUACCCCGGUUUCUUCAGAAACAGUGUUGUGUGGCGCUCUUCUGUUGUUUGCAUGUUUUUGUGAGCAAGUCUGGAGGUAAAUGGCGAUGACGUCUUUGGUUGGUGGGGUGGUGACGGACCAGUUGAUUCACCACCGCCCUCACCCGCUCCACAGUCAAACAAUCCCCACCCAACAACUCACAGGGAGCCUCCAAAUCACCAACGGAAGUAUCCCGACACAGAUACACAACGGACUCGGUGCUGGAUCCGGAAUCGUACUGAAAAGUCAUGACACUGUGAAACUUUUUGUGGGACAAAUUCCGCGGACUUUGGAAGAAAAGGAUUUAAGGCCAAUAUUUGAAGAAUUUGGACAAAUCUACGAAUUUACUGUUCUGAAGGACAGGUUCACGGGAAUGCACAAAGGAUGUGCCUUUCUGACUUACUGUCACAAGGACAGCGCCCUGAAGGCGCAACAGGCGCUCCACGAACAGAAGACGCUGCCCGGGAUGAAUCGUCCAAUCCAAGUCAAACCAGCGGACAGCGAGAACAGAGCGGAAGACCGGAAGCUUUUUGUGGGCAUGCUCAACAAGCAACAAACAGAAGAUGACGUCAGGCAAUUGUUCCAGCCUUUCGGAAAUAUAGAAGAAUGCACGAUAUUAAGGGACCAAAAUGGAAACAGCAAAGGCUGUGCAUUUGUUAAAUUCUCUGGUCACAACGAGGCCCAGUCGGCCAUUAAUGCCCUACACGGAAGUCAAACUAUGCCGGGUGCAUCUUCUAGCCUGGUGGUAAAAUUCGCAGACACAGAAAAAGAACGACAACUGCGUAGAAUGCAGCAAAUGGCAGGUCCACUUGGACUCCUUAAUCCGUUUGCUAUCUCUCAGAUUGGUGCAUAUGGUGCUUAUGCCCAGCAACAGGCUGCUUUAAUGGCGGCUGCGGCGACUCAAGGGACGUACCUGACCAGCCCUGUCACCACCCUGGCUCACAUUCCACAGGUCGGCGCCCUUGCCACGCCCAACGGCAUCACAACAGGUGCGCUGACGCCUACAACCGCCACAUUAGCCAACGGUACCACAGCUAUUAACGGAGCCCCACCCAGCGUCCUGUCCCCCACGGCCUUGGCGGGCUUUCAGAUUCCCCAACACAACGGACAGACGCCGGAAAUGUACGCAAACGGAAUCCCUCAUUAUCCCGGGGAGUGUCAGGUGGUAGAGCUAGCGCAAGCUGUAACUAACGGGGAUCCUUUACAAGCAUACGCUAGUAUGCAGCCAUAUGCUGGGAUUGCAUACCCGGCAUUUGGAGUACAGCAAGCGCUAGCUCAACACGCCGCCAUUUUACCGGCUCAGAAAGAAGGUACGCUAGAAUUCCCCAAAGUUGUAUUUACAGGCCCGGAGGGCUGUAACCUCUUCAUCUACCACCUGCCCCAGGAGUUCGGGGACGCCGAGCUGGCACAGAUGUUCAUGCCGUUCGGAACAGUUAUAAGUGCCAAGGUUUACGUAGACAGGGCGACCAAUCAGAGCAAGUGCUUCGGAUUCGUCAGCUUUGACAACCCAACGAGCGCCCAGGCGGCCAUCCAGGCCAUGAACGGGUUCCAGAUCGGGAUGAAGCGUCUCAAAGUCCAGCUGAAGCGCCCAAAAGACCAGAAUCGGCCAUACUAAAGCCUGACCACCCGCUCCCACAGCUCAGGAAACAACAACUCUCCUGCUUGUUUCAAACAAAGAGAGAUAACUCUGAUUCAAGCCAGAGAGAUGCAGAGUUUUUAGUAGACCACCAGAAACAAAGGGACAAAACUCUGACGACCGAUACAGGGUAUCAAAGGGAGAUUACUCCUACUCACGACUCGACUGUAAAUAGAAACUCAUUCUAAAUUUUUAUUUUCUUAUAUAAAAGAGAACGUUUUCCCACCGAUUUUGUAAUAUACUGGAUGUUGUUCAGAAAGUUAGCAUGGUUCACAAAUGACAAUGCGAGAGGAGACUUUAGCGACACGCUGUACAGAUAUUGGUUAUUACGAGGACGUAUAAUUAUAACAUUUUUCCCACCUUGCUUAUUUAUUAUAUUUUAUUAUAAAAAUAUUAGAUUUAGUUACAUUGAAAUGUUUAUGAUAUAUAUAUUACAUGUUAUAUAUUUAUUAUAUUUGACACGAUGUAAAUAUUUGCCCCAUAUAAAACAACCAGCCCUUUUUGAUGGUUCCUCAUGUUCGCUGGUAAACAUUCCAAGAUUAUUUUUUUUUCGUUUAAGAACAAGUUACUCCAGCAGAUGCCAUUGAAUGUAAUUUCGACAACAUUUUAAUGAUGUUUUAUGUGUUAAAGGUGUAAUUUUUACAAGAGAGUAUUUUCAAAUCAAAUAUUUAUAUAUUAUCAUAUUAUAUAUUAUGUACUUAUCACUUCAUAUAAGGCGGCCGCUCAUUGGAUGUUGUGUAUGGUUGCCAUGGACACCCUAGCUGUUGUCAGGUUUUUAUUGUAUCUUAGACUUGUCAUAGAAACAGCAAUUGGUUCUUCUAAUUUUUAUGUGUAAUCCUAGUGACAAAUUUAAUGUUGUUUAUUUUGACAUCAAUGUAAAUUUGUUUUUAUCAGUAAGUGACAAUUUCUUUUUGAUUUCGGUGAAUUUUGGUUGUUUUAUAUGGCGGAAGUAUGGGCAUUGUAUUUGUAUAUAAUUUGAACAAAAUGCAUUCCUGAUCAUUUUUUAUUUCAUCAAAUCCUGUCAUUGCAUCAUGUUGUGCCCUGGUCAGCCUCGUUUUCACACCGGGCAGGGAUCAAAGUUCACUUUGUUGAUCAUUACUUUAUAAAAAGAUAUCUUGUUACUGAUUUUAGCCACACGUGUACACGAUCUAGCUUGGAUGUUAAUCAUUUUGUUGAAUGGCCCCUGUUUUAUCAAUGGACAGAGAGUUUGUUACUUAUUAACAGUAAAAGUCGUAUUUAUUUAUUUAUUUAUAUUUAUUUGUUUUCAGUAUCAUCAAGCCAUUUUGUACAUAGGUAGUUUAGAUAUUAUAUUAGCAAUCUUUCUUAGCUUACAACUUAUACCUAAACAACAUUACUUAUGUUUUGUUUUAUUGUUAAUUAAAUAAUGAUUGUACUACAAACGAUGGAUGUAGAAAUAGUUGUCAGUAGAGUUAUUUUGGGUACAACUUGUUUCAAUUAUGUUAAGUCGUACACGUGAUGUGUCGUUUUUAAUGGUCACAAUGGCGAGUUUUGUGUUUAUUUGAGUGGUUUAAAAACAGAUCCAAGAAUGUGCAAUAUUUUAUGUAUUACAAAUAAUUAUAUAUCUAGUCAUGCACUGUAGUUCACCUGAGAGAGACUCGAUUUGAUUUCCUGGUUGUGUAUAGCAUUUGCAUGAACGGCACGUAAAUUGAAGUACUUAAUAAAGUUUUAAGGUUUGUUUUAAUUUUGAAUCUCAGGUGAACAGUGCGGUUUAUGAAAAUAUUAUUGGUGCAAUCGAUUUAAUAACAAUUUUUUUGUUGUUUCAAUUACUCGUGAAACUCUUGCAUAAUUGUGACGUAAUGUCUCAUUGGAGGACCUAGCAAUCUCAGUGGAUGUAGCGGUGACGACAUCACCUCGUGCCUAUGACAAUUGGUACCCGGAAUGUCCCAGCACAUCCACACUGACACUUUUUACUUUUGAGUAGAACAGAAUUUUGACACUUUUUAAAUUUUGUUUUUCUUCAUAUCGCAUAUAUAUAUUCUUACAUAUUUCUAUACUCCCUUAAUUAGAGAGAAUCCAUUUUGAUAUUUACAUUGGAAGAGAAAUGAUCUUGUUUCUUUUUAGUUAAUUUUUUUUUCUGACUUAGUUUAUAGUCAGAUUUAUUCUUAUAACUGACGCAAGUAGUCAGAUUGAUCAUGAUCUAGCCUGAUUCAUUAGUCACUUAGUUAGAAAUCAUAAUAGCUAACCUGUAUAAAGAAGCGAUACAAUAAAAUAGUCCAUCAUAUACUA